GUUCAGUGGUUAAUUGAACCAUGUUUAAUUAAUGGCGUUCUUACUGUCACUAAGGGGCGGACCAUUUGAUUUUUGAGAGGUGGGGUGGAAGAUUCAGACUGUGCAAGAAUUUUUUUCCGCCCAGGGGAACAAGACAGAUAUUUUUUUCCUGUAAAAGUGCAGUGCAAGAUAUUUUUUCCCCAAUAUAUUUCGCUGCAGGAUAUUUUUUCCUCUCAUAAUAACGGCUUACAGUAACUUAAGGCUUUCAUAUAGCUAUCGUCAGAGACGUAGCCGGGGUUUGCAGUAAGAAGAGGCCGAGAACUGAAUCCCAAGAGAGGCCAAGGAAUUUUCACUGUGCUUUAUUUUAUAUGGUUAUGUCUUAAUUAAUGUUCCCCACACUAAAGCGUGCAGGUUUAAAACAUGCAGGGAUAGAGUAGAGUACUCGAAAAUGGGGGAGGUACAGUUGUUACGAGGCUUUAUUUAUAGGUAGUGAAUCGUUACAACAAUCUCUAAUAACUAUCAGUUCUUAAUGUUCGUCUUCUCGUAGUAGUUUCCUAAAGUUCACUUCAUUUUACUCUAGUCCACUGUCCAUUGAGAAUCCACUGAAAGAUCAUCCACUGAGAAUCCACUGAGAAUCCACUGAGAUCAUACACUGUUACGACAACUUUUCAUAGAUAAUUUUUACUUCGUUGAGUCCACUGAAAGAUCAUCCACUGGCGAGUCUCGGUUGUGCACGCACUUUUAUACUAACGGUUGAGGGGAUCUUUGUACACGUGAGGUAGCAAGUGGUGUGAGUUGUAUCCAGCCAAUCAACGUUGAGGUUUAAAAGUGUGGGUUGGCGUUGCUAGCUCGUUCCAGUCCUCAAAUUCUGUUUAUUUAAGGCGUUGUCGCACUGGUCGAGUUGGUUCGCUGUUCAAUCAAUCAAUAUUAAAAUAUGUUCACAACUUAAAAUACUUAUUGAAAUAUCAUAGUAAAAACUUCAACCUAUACCUAUGUGAACCUUACUUUACCUACUAACCUAAAUUUACUUACAAUUUUAUUGAACCAAGAUUUUGAUGACGUAAUGUUAUAAUUACUCAACCGCGCGAAAUAUACCGAAGAAUGAUUGACAGAAAGGCCCUAAGCAUGCACAUUUUCAUGUCAGAGAAGAACCAGCCUUGGACUUUGAAUUAUGUAAACACAACAGCCCACCAUGCAAGGCUAUCGUCCAACUUUGACAAAUGAUUUAUCUUGCCUAAUGGACAGAUAAUUGACACUUUUACACAAGUCCGAAAUGAUAUAUACUUUAUCUGCGUUUUACAGCAAAAAUGCUCAUUAUCUGUCCAUUUGACGUAACUAGUAUCUAUAAUUACCUGGGGGUGCAAAUUGAACUAUUUUUAUACUAUUUAGAUAUACUUUCGCAACACAGUAUUUGAAUGACCUGUAAACUUGGGGGGUUCGGGGGCAUGCUCCCCCGAGAAAAUUUUAAAAUUUGGACCUAUAUCUGAUAAAACAUUCCUACUCGUGUUUUAAAUAGCACUUAAAUCUCUUGCCAAACUUACUCUUUGUGUUAAGAAUGUCAAUUAAAGAUAUCAUUAAUGUUUUGAAUAAAUUCAGCAGUUUGCUCACACUUUUCAAGCUGUUUCACGUUUAGGUUGCGGAGAUAAAUCAUAAACUGCUUAAUGUUUGGGCUGCAACUGCAACCUUCAUCUUUUGAUUGUGCCAUUUAAUGUGCACAUUUUUCAACUUGUUUCCAAGGUGCAAGAUAUCGGAUUGUUGGACAUUGAAUAUCUCCUUAAUAUAAUACCAGCUGAUUGUUUCUCCACCCGAGGUAUAAAAGACUCUUCUUGUCUCCUGAUGUAUUGCGGGCAAGUUUUAACAUAUGGUAUAUGUCCAAGAUGACAUAUAGAGUUUUGCCUGGUCGGGUAGGAUGUUGGAAAGAGCCAUCAAAGCUGUCUAUCUUACAUCCAAGACGUCUAGCUGUGGCUAAAUUCUUUGAGCAGCCAUCAAAAGUCACAGCAUACACAUCAAGCCCCGCAUCGGUAAGUAAGUAAUUAAUAGACUCUUUUAUUAUCUGUGCUUGCAUUUUAGAGUCUAAUUAUGUGGUUAACUAAAAAGUAAGCAAUAGGAUAACUCCAUGGUUUUUGUAUGCCUUCUGCCAUAACAACCAGUGCAUUAUGAGCAAUUAUAUCCUGGUCUUCUGCUAAAAUUGGCCCAUAGUCGGUGUUACCAGCAAAUUUCUGAUUUUCGCAUCCCACAGAACUUCUUUUUUUGUUGACAUUUCAUCAACCAAUAUGAUGCAAUCUUUGUUAUCAUCCUCUAGAGUGUUCUGAAGAUGUUCGAUAACGUUACUUGGGUGGCUACUACUACUCGGGUGGUUACCUCGGGUGGCUGGAUCAAUGAUG